AUCAACGCUGGCGGCCGUGCCUAACACAGAUGCAAGUCGAACGAGGAAAGUGCAGCAAAGGCAUGAGUACAGUGGCGACCCGGGUGAAGUAACACGUGACUAACCUACCUCUCGUAGUGGGGGAAUAACUCCGGCAAACCGGAGCUAAUACCGCAUAACAUCGCAAGAUCAAAGCAGCAAAGGCGCGCUGGGGAGAGGGGGGGUCGCGGCUGAUUAGCUAGUUUGGUAGGGUAACGGCCUACCAAGGCAAAGAUCGGUAUCCGGCCUGAAGGAGGGCGCACGGACACACUGGGAACUGAAAACACGGUCCAGACCUCCUACGGGAGGCAGCAGUGGGGAAUUUUUGCGCAAUGGGGGAAACCCUGACGCAGCAAACGCCGCGUGGAGGAAUGAAGUCCCUUGGGAUGUAAAACUCCUUUCGACCCGGACGAUACUGACGGUACGGGUGGAAGAAGCACCGGCUAACUCUGUGCCAGCAGCCGCGGUAAUACAGAGGGUGCGAGGCGUUGUUCGGAAUAUAUUGGGCGUAAAGGGACGCGUAGGCCGGUGCGGUAAGUCACCUGUGAAAUCUCCUGGCUCAACUGGAGCUUGCAGGCGAAACUGCCGUGCUGGAGUGUGGGAGAGUGGUGCGUGGAAUUCCCGGUUGUAGCGGUGAAAUGCGUAGAUAUCGGGAGGAACACCCUGUGGCGAAAGCGGCGCAACUGGGACCACAACUUGACGCUGAGGCGCGGAAAGCUAGGGGAGCAAACAGGAUUAGAUACCCUGGGUAGUCCUAGCCCUAAACUAUGGAUGCUUGGUGUGAUGGGUACCCAAUCCCAUCGUGCCGAAGCUAACGCGAUAAGCAUCCCGCCUGGGGAGUACGGUCGCAAGGCGCUUGAAACUCAAAGGGAAUUGACGGGGGGCCCGCACAAAGCGGUGGAGCAUGUGGUUUCAAUUCGAACGCAAACGCGAAGAACCUUACCUGGUGCUCGAAGCGCAGGUGGAAUCCGGUGGGAAACAUCGGCGCCCGAAGGGGCCGCUGCGGAGGUGCUGCAUGGCUUGUCGUCAGCUCGUGUCGUGAGAUGGUUGGGUUAAGUCCCGCAACGAGCGCAACCCUUAUCGUCAGUUGCCUAACGCGUCUAAUGCGCGAGGCACUCUUGGCGAAAACCGCCUCGGGAUAACGGGGAGGGAAGGUGGGGGAUGACGUCAAGUCCUCAUGGCCUUUAUGUCCAGGCGCUACACAACGUGCUACAAUGGUUCGGUACAAACCGUCGCAAACCCGCGAGGGGGAGCUAAUCGGAAAAAAAGCCGUGCCUCAGUUCGGAUUGGAGUCUGCAAACUCGACUCAUGAAGAGUGCUGAAUCGCUAGUAAUCGCAGAUCAGAAACGCUGCGGUGAAUACGUUCCCGGGCCUUGUACACACCCCGCCCGUUCACAUCACGAAAGUGGACCAUUACUAGAAGCCGGUGGGCUAACCGCCAAGGGAGCAGCCGUCCAAGGUAUAGUUCAUGAUUGGGGUG
rnacentral:rRNA from 1 species